rnacentral:rRNA from 1 species
AACGAACGCUGGCGGCAGGCCUAACACAUGCAAGUCGAACGCUCUAGCAAUAGAGAGUGGCAGACGGGUGAGUAACGCGUGGGAACCUUCCCUAUGGUGUGGAAUAACUCGCCGAAAGGCGAGCUAAUACCGCAUAAGCCCGCAAGGGGAAAGAUUUAUCGCCAUAGGAUGGGCCCGCGUAGGAUUAGCUAGUUGGUGAGGUAAUGGCUCACCAAGGCGACGAUCCUUAGCUGGUUUGAGAGAAUGACCAGCCACACUGGGACUGAGACACGGCCCAGACUCCUACGGGAGGCAGCAGUGGGGAAUUGUUCGCAAUGGGCGCAAGCCUGACGACGCAACGCCGCGUGGAGGAUGAAGAUCUUCGGGUCGUAAACUCCUUUCGAUCGAGACGAACGGCCUCCGGGUUAAUACUCCGGAGGAGUGACGGUACCGAGAGAAGAAGCCCCGGCUAACUCCGUGCCAGCCGCCGC